UACGUACUGUGCGAGCGUUAUUCGGAAUCACUGGGCUUAAAGCGUGCGUAGACGGUUAUUUAAGUCGGGUGUGAAAGCCCCGGGCUCAACCUGGGAAUUGCAUUCGAGACUGAAUAGCUAGGGUACGGUAGAGGGAAGCGGAAUUUCCGGUGUAGCGGUGAAAUGCGUAGAUAUCGGAAGGAACAUCAGUGGCGAAAGCGGCUUCCUGGACCAGUACCGACGUUCAGGCACGAAAGCGUGGGGAGCAAACAGG
rnacentral:rRNA from 1 species